rnacentral:rRNA from 1 species
GCUUAGAGUUUGAUCCUGGCUCAGGAUGAACGCUGGCGGCGUGCUUAACACAUGCAAGUCGAACGGUCUCUUCGGAGAUAGUGGCGGACGGGUGAGUAACGCGUGAGAAUCUGCCUUUAGGUUCGGGACAACAGUUGGAAACGACUGCUAAUACCGAAUGUGUCGCGAGAUGAAAGAUUUAUUGCCUAAAGAUGAGCUCGCGUCUGAUUAGCUAGUUGGUGGGGUAAAAGCGUACCAAGGCGACGAUCAGUAGCUGGUCUGAGAGGAUGAUCAGCCACACUGGGACUGAGACACGGCCCAGACUCCUACGGGAGGCAGCAGUGGGGAAUUUUCCGCAAUGGGCGAAAGCCUGACGGAGCAACGCCGCGUGAGGGAGGAAGGCUUUUGGGUUGUAAACCUCUUUUCUCAAGGAAGAUAAUGACGGUACUUGAGGAAUCAGCAUCGGCUAACUCCGUGCCAGCAGCCGCGGUAAUACGGAGGAUGCAAGCGUUAUCCGGAAUAAUUGGGCGUAAAGCGUUCGUAGGUGGUUUUGCAAGUCUGCUGUUAAAGCGUGUAGCUUAACUACAUAAUGGCGGUGGAAACUGCAAAACUAGAGUGCGUUCGGGGCAGAGGGAAUUCCUGGUGUAGCGGUGAAAUGCGUAGAUAUCAGGAAGAACACCGGUGGCGAAGGCGCUCUGCUAGGCCGCAACUGACACUGAGGGACGAAAGCUAGGGGAGCGAAAGGGAUUAGAUAC